ACAAAUAUGUACCUAGUUGCAUAUACAGCUAGUAACCAAAUGCCAUUCGGAGGUCUUCUGGAGUGCUAGUGCUAGUGUGUGUUCAAUCAGGUUUAGGAACAAUGGCAACCUCUGCAACUCCUCAAGAUAUGCUCGUCGCUGAUAAUACUGGUGGUGAGUGUGAUACUGGUUCAGCAUCAGUCCCAAGUGUGCAGCGGCUCAUCGGCCUGGAUACGGUCAACGUGCACCAGAAGAGCUCAUCCUUCAGCGGCAACUAGUACACUGUGCUCUCUGGCGGUGACGUGCUGCUCUCCUUGAAGGAGGAUGGCCACGCCUUCACCUUCCUCUCCAAAGCCAAGAGCAGGCAGUUCAGAAUGGAUGGACUGGACAACAUGGGCAGAAAGGUGUUAGUUCUUCAUCGACCUGCCGUUCUUUUUUGUUCAGAUAGUAAGCUGAUGCUGUACAUGGACGGAAACCUGGUCAGCAUUAUUCACGAGGAAAUAACUUUCAUGAAAGCGGUGUUCUUGAUCCAAGAUCCUAACGGCUCCACGGUACUCAGGGUUAAGGGUGAUUUUACUCAUCAUAACUUUCAGGUAACUACAUCUAUGUGUCUUUGCAUU